rnacentral:misc_RNA from 1 species
AAGUCAUAACAAGGUUUCUGUAGGUGAACCUGCAGAAGGAUCAUUAGUGAAUGUUGGUCGCGGAUUCGUCCCGACCCUUUUUAUCUAUUGACACACCUGUGCACCGGUGGCGGCUUUCGGGCCCUGCCAACUUAUUAUAAAACACAUAAAGUCUUGAAAGUAAAAUUAUCAUAAUAAAGAUAACUUUUGACAACGGAUCUCUUGGUUCUC